rnacentral:miRNA from 14 species
UUAUUUUUAUCUAAUUUUAAAAAAAAUUUUGAGACAGGGUUUCUAUGUGUAGCCCUGGAACUCACUCUGGAGACUGGACUGGCCUCAAAACUCAAAUUAGCCUGCUUC